AGAAAGGUAAGCUAAAUUAAGCUAUCAGGUUCAUACCCUGCUUAUAAGGGAUUAAGCCCUUCCUCUCUA
rnacentral:tRNA from 1 species